rnacentral:rRNA from 1 species
AUUGAACGCUGGCGGCAGGCCUAACACAUGCACGUCGAGCGGAGCGGCGGACGGUUGAGUAAUGCCUAGGAAUCUGCCUGGUCGUGGGGGAUAACGUCCGGCAACGGGCGCUAAUACCGCAUACUAUCAGAUGAGCCUCAGUCGGAUUAGCUAGGUGGUGGGGUAAAGGCCUACAAAGGCGACGAUCCGUAACUGGUCUGAGAGGAUGAUCAGUCAAAGUGGAACUGAGACACGGUCCAGACUCCUACGGGAGGCAGCAGUGGGGAAUAUUGGACAAUGGGCGAAAGCCUGAUCCAGCCAUGCCGCUUGUGUGAAGAAGGUCUUCGGAGUGUAAAGCACUUUAAGUUGGGAGGCGUUACCAACAGAAUAAGCACCGGCUAACUUCGGGCCAGCAGCCGCGGUAAUAC